UGCCACAAAGAGGAACGCGGCGCGGGGACCCAAAGGGACAAUGACACUCUGCAAGGAGGGAGCGACGGGCCUCGGGACACCGCGCCGCUGACCCCCAGGCGGACCUGACCGGGGCCUCCGGGAGGCGCCGCCCGCAGCCUGCAGGACGCCCCAGAGGAACCAGCACGUUCGGUUUCUCUUUGUGGAGACUUUUUCCAGUAAACGAAAAUCAAAGACAGCGACAGACUUGGGGCUGGGGACACCUGAGUGGGAGCCGAGGAGGAGGCUGGCUGUGCUGUCACCGGCUGGAGCUGCGAGCGCCAUGGGGGCCCUGUGGCUCCUGAUGUUCCUGACCCCCGCCUCCUGCCUGCUGGACACCACCCAGGGUCCAGAGCCGCCCAUCAGGAACCUGAGGAUGGACGCGGCCCGGAGCCACCUCACCUGGGACGUCAGCGCACCUUCUUCCACUAUUUACUGCGUCACCGACUCCGACCACAUCCAAGAGGUCAGCACGUGCCCGCACCCACACGU
rnacentral:lncRNA from 1 species